rnacentral:rRNA from 1 species
AUUGAACGCUGGCGGCAGGCCUAACACAUGCAAGUCGAGCGGAGCGGCGGAGGGGUGAGUAAGGUCUGGGAAACUGCGUGUUGGAGGGGGAUAACGUCGGGAAACGGGCGCUAAUACCGCAUACUAUCAGCUGACGCUUGGUCGGGUUAGCUAGUUGGUGGGGUAAAGGCCUACCAGGGCAACGAUCCGUAACUGGCCUGAGAGGAUGAUCAGUCACACUGGAACUGAGACACGGUCCAGACUCCUACGGGAGGCAGCAGUGGGGAAUCUUGGACAAUGGGCGAAAGCCUGACCCAGCCAUGCCGCGUGUGUGAAGAAGGUCUUCGGAUUGUAAAGCACUUUAAGUUGGGAGGCGUUACCAAACGAAAAAGCCCCGGCUAACUUCGUGCCAGCCGCCGCGGUAAUUC